rnacentral:rRNA from 1 species
CCUAUCCUGCAAGUCGAGCGAAUGGAUUAAGAGCUUGCUCUUAUGACGUUAGCGGCGGACGGGUGAGUAACACGUGGGUAACCUGCCCAUAAGACUGGGAUAACUCCGGGAAACCGGGGCUAAUACCGGAUAACAUUUUGAACCGCAUGGUUCGAAAUUGAAAGGCGGCUUCGGCUGUCACUUAUGGAUGGACCCGCGUCGCAUUAGCUAGUUGGUGAGGUAACGGCUCACCAAGGCAACGAUGCGUAGCCGACCUGAGAGGGUGAUCGGCCACACUGGGACUGAGACACGGCCCAGACUCCUACGGGAGGCAGCAGUAGGGAAUCUUCCGCAAUGGACGAAAGUCUGACGGAGCAACGCCGCGUGAGUGAUGAAGGCUUUCGGGUCGUAAAACUCUGUUGUUAGGGAAGAACAAGUGCUAGAUGAAUAAGCUGGCACCUUGACGGUACCUAACCAAAAAGCCACGGCUAACUACGUGCCACCAGCCGCGGUAAUACGUAGGUGGCAAGCGUUAUCCGGAAUUAUUGGGCGUAAAGCGCGCGCAGGUGGUUUCUUAAGUCUGAUGUGAAAGCCCACGGCUCACCCCGUGGAGGGUCAUUGGAAACUGGGAGACUUGAGUGCAAAACAGAAAAGUGGAAUUCCCAUGUGUAGCGGUGAAUGC